rnacentral:tRNA from 1 species
UCCAGGUGGAGCGGGCGAUCUCCUCGCCGUGGUCGACGGAGACGGUGAUCUCGACGUCGCCGGUGCCGCCGUGCAGGGCGGCGACCCGGGC